GUGAGGAAUAUUGCGCAAUGGACGAAAGUCUGACGCAGCAACGCCGCGUGCAGGAUGACGGCCCUCUGGGUUGUAAACUGCUGUAGCAGGGGAAUAAUACCCGCCUCGGGCGGGUUGAAGGUACCCUGAAAGUAAGCUCCGGCUAACUACGUGCCAGCAGCCGCGGUAAUACGUAGGGAGCAAGCGUUGUCCGGAUUUACUGGGUGUAAAGGGUGCGCAGGCGGGUUGGUAAGUCAGGGGUGAAAUCUCACGGCUUAACCGUGAAAUUGCCUUUGAUACUGCUAACCUUGAGUUCGGGAGAGGUCGAUGGAAUUCCAGGUGUAGCGGUGAAAUGCGUAGAUAUCUGGAAGAACACCAGUAGCGAAGGCGGUCGACUGGCCCGUAACUGACGCUCAGGCACGAAAGCGUGGGGAGCGAACAGGAUUAGAAACCCUAGUAGUCC
rnacentral:rRNA from 1 species